rnacentral:miRNA from 1 species
ACUUUUGUUACUCCUUGCUCUCA